rnacentral:tRNA from 1 species
AAUGAAGUGUCUGAUAAUAGAGUUAUUUUGAUAGAAUAAAAAAUGUAAAAUUUUACCUUCAUUA